rnacentral:misc_RNA from 1 species
GAAAGAUUGCAACAAGUUGAAAUAUCCCAUCAAAUCUUUGCCUUGUAUCCUCCUAACUAAUUGACUAUCACAAAAGCAUACACAUUAUUAAAAUGAAUCAUCUCAUAUGAAGAUCUAAGUAGUAAAUCCUCAAGUAGAUGCUCACAAGCAGAAAGGUAAAAGUUAAAAUUGCACCAAAAGUCUUCAGUCCCACUGGAAAAAGGCUUUCAAGCCAAAAGGGUAAAAACCAUUUUUGGUCGGAAAUCAAAGUGGUAGGUGCUAUGACAAGAAAUUGCAUCAUUGGAGUUCAAAGGCUGUGGGUCUAGUGAUGAGUUGAUUGGGUUCAAGAAAUUCACAAAAACCUUAAUUAAGCACCAAGUACAACAAAUUAUAUAUGGGAUUUGACUAGAUUGACAUAAAAAUCAAAGAUGAUGCCUAAUUUAAAGGCACUAUAAUUAAGAGAUUGAUUAUACGUUUGCAUGAUGUGUGCUUAUGAAUAAUAAUAAGACUGGCUAUCCUUUGAUCUUUUCUAUAAGAGAAACACCUUUUUCUAUUAAAUUAUUGUUGUUGAAUCAACUACCCCACUCAC